CCUACGGUGGGCAGCAGUGAGGAAUAUUGGUCAAUGGACGCAAGUCUGAACCAUCCAUGCCGCGUGCAGGAUGACGGCUCUAUGAGUUGUAAACUGCUUUUGUACGAGGGUAAACCACGAUACGUGUCUCGGGUUGUAAGUAUCGUAUGAAUAAGGAUCGGCUAACUCCGUGCCAGCAGCCGCGGUAAUACUGAGGAUCCGAGCGUUAUCCGGAUUUAUUGGGUUUAAAGGGUGCGUAGGCGGUUUGCUAAGUUAGAGGUGAAAGGUCGGGGCUCAACCCCGAAACUGCCUGUAAUACUGUGGGACUAGAGAAUAGUUGCGGUAGGCGGAAUGUAUGGUGUAGCGGGGAAAUGCUUAGAGAUCAUACAGAACACCGAUUGCGAAGGCAGCUUACCAAGCUAUAUCUGACGUUGAGGCACGAAAGCGUGGGUAGCAAACAGGAUUAGAUACCCCUGUAGUC
rnacentral:rRNA from 1 species